rnacentral:rRNA from 1 species
AGAGUUUGAUCAUGGCUCAGGAUGAACGCUGGCGGCGUGCCUAACACAUGCAAGUCGAGCGAUUCUCUUCGGAGAAGAGCGGCGGACGGGUGAGUAACGCGUGGGUAACCUGCCUCAUACACAUGGAUAACAUACCGAAAGGUAUGCUAAUACAGGAUAAUAUAAGAGAUUCACAUGGAUUUCUUAUCAAAGCUCCGGCGGUAUGAGAUGGACCCGCGUCUGAUUAGCUAGUUGGUAAGGUAACGGCUUACCAAGGCGACGAUCAGUAGCCGACCUGAGAGGGUGAUCGGCCACAUUGGAACUGAGACACGGUCCAAACUCCUACGGGAGGCAGCAGUGGGGAAUAUUGCACAAUGGGCGAAAGCCUGAUGCAGCAACGCCGCGUGAGUGAUGAAGGCCUUCGGGUCGUAAAACUCUGUCCUCAAGGAAGAUAAUGACGGUACUUGAGGAGGAAGCCCCGGCUAACUACGUGCCAGCCGCCGC